UGCAGCUGAACUUCUGUCAGUGAAAUAACAUGUCAGAAUGAAUGUGUGUAAUAAAUCCUCAUAUAGACAGUAAGAUAAGUUGCAGCAUUAAUGGUCAUGA